UAAAGCAAAGAAGAGCGCAGAGUGAAUGCCUUGGCAUUGAGAGCCGAAGAAGGACGUGGUUAACUGCGAUAAGCAGCGGGGAGUUGUAAGCAAGCAUUGAUCCGCUGAUUUCCGAAUGGAGCAAUCCGCAUGAAGUAGUUCAUGCAUCCAUAUGUGAAUCAAUAGCAUAUGGAGGGGAACCGCCUGAACUGAAACAUCUAAGUAGGGCGAGGAAGAGAAAUCAACCGAGAUUCCGUAAGUAGUGGCGAGCGAAAGCGGAAGAGGCCAAACCGCAUGCAGCAAUGUGUGCGGGGUUGCGGACUGCAUAAGGUAUGUUGAAGUCUAGCUGAACUGUAUGGGAAGGCAGACCGGAGAGCGUGAGAGUCGCGUAAGCGAAAGACAGAGACAGCCGGCAGGAUCCAGAGUACCGCGGGACACGUGAAACCCCGUGGGAAGCCGGGGGGACCACCCUCCAAGCCUAAAUACUCCCCAGUGACCGAUAGAGAAUAGUACUGUGAAGGAAAGGUGAAAAGCACCCCGGGAGGGGAGUGAAAUAGCACCUGAAACCCUGAGCCUACAAGCACAUAGAGCACGUCAAAGUGUGAUAUGGUACCUUUUGUAGAAUGGUCCGGCGAGCGUAUGUAUGCAGCAAGGUUAAGCGCUUAAGGCGUGGAGCCGAAGGGAAACCGAGUCUGAAUAGGGCGUGAAGUUGCAUGCAUAGGGCCCGAAACCGGGUGACCUAUCCAUGUCCAGGUUGAAGUGGGAGUAAAAUCCCAUGGAGGACCGAACCGACCUCCGUUGAAAAGGCGGCGGAUGAGGUGUGGAUAGCGGAGAAAUUCCAAUCGAACCCGGAGAUAGCUGGUUCUCCUCGAAAUAGCUUUAGGGCUAGCCUCGCAUUAGUUUACCGGAGGUAGAGCACUGAAUGGUCUAGGGGGCCUCACCGCCUACCGAAACCUAUCAAACUGCGAAUGCCGGAUAAAUGAUGUGCGGGAGUCAGGCCGCGAGAGAUAAGUUCCGCGGUCAAAAGGGGAACACCCCAGAUCGUCUGCUAAGGUCCCCAAGUACGCGUUAAGUGGGAAAGGAUGUUGGAUUGCACAGACAACCAGGAUGUUGGCUUAGAAGCAGCCACACAUUCAAAGAGUGCGUAAUAGCUCACUGGUCGAGUGAUCCAGCGCCGAAAAUGUAACGGGGCUAAAACGCGACACCGAAGCAGCGGGAUGCGUAAGCAUCGGUAGAGGAGCAUUGUGUGAGGAUAGAAGCCAGAGCGGGAGCACUGGUGGACUUCACAGAAGAGAGAAUGCCGGUAUGAGUAGCGAGACCCAUGCGAGAAACAUGGGCGUCGAAGGCCCAAGGUUUCCUGGGGAAGGUUCAUCCACCCAGGGUAAGUCGGGACCUAAGCCGAGGACUGAGGUCGUAGGCGAUGGACAGCAGGUAGAGAUUCCUGCACCACUUACACUUGUUUGACGAAGCAGUGACACAGAAGGAUAGGACGAGCGCGGUGAUGGUCAACCGCGUAGGCGGCACAAGGCUGGGGAGCAGUAAAGUACACUUCCCGGGAAGGCUGAGUGUUGACAGGACCGAAAAAGAGUAGGGAAGCGUCUGAGUUCACGCUGGCGAGAAAAGCUGCUAAGGAGAGUGUGAGUGCCCGUACCGGAAACCGACGCAGGUGGGCGAGGAGAGAAUCCUGAGACGGACGGGAGAACUCUUGUUAAGGAACUCGGCAAAAUGACCCCGUAACUUCGGGAGAAGGGGUGCCUCGAAAGAGGCCGCAGAGAAUAGUCACAAGCGACUGUUUAGCAAAAACACAGGUAUCUGCGAAAGCGAGAGCUGACGUAUAGGUGCUGACACCUGCCCGGUGCUGGAAGGUUAAGGGAACAUGUUAGAGCAAUCGAAGCAUCGAACCGAAGCCCCAGUAAACGGCGGCCGUAACUAUAACGGUCCUAAGGUAGCGAAAUUCCUUGUCGGGUAAGUUCCGACCCGCACGAAUGGUGUAACGACUUGUGAGCUGUCUCAACAGGGGGCCCGGUGAAAUUGAAGUAUGGGUGAAGAUGCCCAUUACCCGCGACUGGACGGAGAGACCCCGUAGAGCUUUACUGCAGCCUGAUAUUGAGUUUCGGUAACUGAUGCACAGGAUAGGUGGGAGUCUGAGAGACACGGGUUUCGGCUCGUGUGGAGACGCUGUUGGGAUACCACUCUUCGGUUACUGAAAUUCUAACAUAGCUCUGUGAAACCAGAGGAUGGACAGUGUCAGGUGGACAGUUUGACUGGGGCGGUCGCCUCCGAAAGAGUAACGGAGGCGCCCAAAGGUACCCUCAGAAUGGAUGGAAACCAUUCGAAGAGCGCAAAGGCAGAAGGGUGCCUGACUGCGAGAGUGACAACUCGAGCAGAGACGAAAGUCGGGCUUAGUGAUCCGGCGGUAUUGAGUGGAAAAGCCGUCGCUUAACGGAUAAAAGCUACCUCGGGGAUAACAGGCUGAUCUCCCCCAAGAGUCCACAUCGACGGGGAGGUUUGGCAC
rnacentral:rRNA from 1 species